rnacentral:rRNA from 1 species
AUUGAACGCUGGCGGCAGGCCUAACACAUGCAAGUCGAACGGUAACAGGAAACAGCUUGCUGUUUCGCUGACGAGUGGCGGACGGGUGAGGAAUGUCUGGGAAACUGCCUGAUGGAGGGGGAUAACUACUGGAAACGGUAGCUAAUACCGCAUAACGUCGCAAGACCAAAGAGGGGGACCUUCGGGCCUCUUGCCAUCGGAUGUGCCCAGAUGGGAUUAGCUAGUAGGUGGGGUAACGGCUCACCUAGGCGACGAUCCCUAGCUGGUCUGAGAGGAUGACCAGCCACACUGGAACUGAGACACGGUCCAGACUCCUACGGGAGGCAGCAGUGGGGAAUAUUGCACAAUGGGCGCAAGCCUGAUGCAGCCAUGCCGCGUGUAUGAAGAAGGCCUUCGGGUUGUAAAGUACUUUCAGCGGGGAUGAAGGGAGUAAAGUUAAUACCUUUGCUCAUUGACGUUACCCGCAGAAGAAGCACCGGCUAACUCCGUG